GCCUGGGUGGCUCAGUCGGUUAAGCGGCCGACUUCAGCUCAGGUCAUGAUCUCGCGGUCCGUGAGUUCGAGCCCCACUUCAGGCU
rnacentral:tRNA from 1 species